rnacentral:rRNA from 1 species
AUCGCGGCUUAACAUGCAAGUCGAACGGAAAGGCCUCUUUCGGGGGGUACUCGAGUGGCGAACGGGUGAGUAACACGUGAGUAACCUGCCCUUGACUUUGGGAUAACUUCAGGAAACUGGGGCUAAUACCGGAUAGGAGCUCCUGCUGCAUGGUGGGGGUUGGAAAGUUUCGGCGGUUGGGGAUGGACUCGCGGCUUAUCAGCUUGUUGGUGGGGUAGUGGCUUACCAAGGCUUUGACGGGUAGCCGGCCUGAGAGGGUGACCGGCCACAUUGGGACUGAGAUACGGCCCAGACUCCUACGGGAGGCAGCAGUGGGGAAUAUUGCACAAUGGGUGGAAGCCUGAUGCAGCAACGCCGUGUGCGGGAUGACGGCCUUCGGGUUGUAAACCGCUUUCGCUCAUGACGAAGCUUUGUGUGACGGUAGUGGGUAAAGAAGCACCGGCUAACUACGUGCCAGCAGCCGCGGUGAUACGUAGGGUGCGAGCGUUGUCCGGAUUUAUUGGGCGUAAAGGGCUCGUAGGUGGUUGAUCGCGUCGGAAGUGUAAUCUUGGGGCUUAACCCUGAGCGUGCUUUUGAUACGGGUUGACUUGAGGAAGGUAGGGGAGAACGGAAUUCCUGGUGGAGCGGUGGAAUGCGCAGAUAUCAGGAGGAACACCGGUGGCGAAGGCGGUUCUCUGGGCCUUUCCUGACGCUGAGGAGCGAAAGCGUGGGGAGCGAACAGGCUUAGAUACCCUGGUAGUCCACGCUGUAAACGGUGGGUACUAGGUGUGGGGUCCAUUCCACGGGUUCCGUGCCGUANCUAACGCUUUAAGUACCCCGCCUGGGGAGUACGGCCGCAAGGCUAAAACUCAAAGGAAUUGACGGGGCCCCNCACAANCGGCGGANCAUGCNGAAUUAAUUCNAUGCACCCCNAAAAACCUUACCUGGGUUUGACAUGGAUCANGANUGCUUANAAAUGGGUGCCC